rnacentral:rRNA from 1 species
UUUAAAAAGUACUACAAUGAAAUGUGUAUAAACUUAAAAUAAUAUGGCGGUAAUUAUAAACUUUAGGGGAACUUACCUAAUAAAGGAUAGCCAUCCAGGUAAACUACCUUUUCUAAUAACCUGUAUGCCGUCGUCAUCAGAAACCUUUACUAAAAGAUUUCAAAUUAUUAUAAUUAAAUAUAAUUAUGACAGAUCAAGGUGCAGUUUAUGAAAAGGGUAAGGCGAGUUACAAUUUUAAUUAUUAACGGAAGAUAUUAUUUAACAAAUGCUUGAAGCUGGACUUAAAAGUAAAUUAUAUUAUAUAUAAUAUUUGAAUUAUUUAUAGUUGUGUACAUAUCGCCCGUCGC